GAGUUUGAUCCUGGCUCAGGAUGAACGCUGGCGGCGUGCUUAAUACAUGCAAGUCGAACGGAGAUAGUAGCAAUAUUAUCUUAGUGGCGAACGGGUGAGUAACGCGUUGGUGACCUGCCCCGAAGAGAGGGAUAGCAGUUCGAAAGGACUGAUAAUACCUCAUGUGGUUGAAGGUUUUAGAAUCCUUCAACUAAACGGAUUUAUUCGCUUCGGGAGGGGCCUGCGUCCCAUCAGCUAGUUGGUAGGGUAAUGGCCUACCAAGGCGAUGACGGGUAGGGGACCUGAGAGGGUGGCCCCCCACAAUGGAACUGAAACACGGUCCAUACACCUACGGGUGGCAGCAGUAGGGAAUAUUGGUAAUCUGCGAAAGCGGGAACCAGCAACGCCGCGUGCACGAUGAAGGCCUUCGGGUCGUAAAGUGCUUUUAGAGAGGAUGAGGAAGGACAGUACUUUCUGAAUAAGCCCCGGCUAACUACGUGCCAGCAGCCGCGGUAAAACGUAGGAGGCUAGCGUUAUCCGGAUUUACUGGGCGUAAAGCGCGUGCAGGUGGUCUUGUAAGUUGGAUGUGAAAGCUCCCGGCUUAACUGGGAGAGGUCGU
rnacentral:rRNA from 1 species